GAAAUGAUACGUCAUAAAUGUUUGCGUUCACGGAGCGCAGAGUUCACGGGCCGAGGCGACUUCAAGUACAGUCAAUUAAGUAUCAAAUAUGGGGUGGGUUAGCAUUAUUGUACCUCUGCAUAGUUAAAACAUGUCUCUGUCUAACGUUAUCUAUAUUAAUGACGGAGUUAAAGCGCUGUCCCCGGCUAGCAGCUAAGUGACAACACGGUGUUGGUGACCGGUAACUAGGGACCGGUAACCAGGGGAACGCUGGGUCCGGCUAGCAUGCGAUGCUAACUGCUGACAUGCUCAAGGAGGACUGGUUUAAUGCAAGGAGAAUGAACGAGAAGAGGAGUUGAACCUGGAGCCCAUUGUGAAGGACCUAGUGGUGCUAAAGACUGGCAGGAUGCCUUUCAGACAGGUGCUUUACAGUUCCUGGGUUCCCUGGUGUAGGAGAGUUCAUAGAUCUCAUCCUCAGUGUAGUACAGAUCCAGGGACAGCUGUAGGGAAGGACAGGACACAUGUCAGCACAUGAGAGGAGAGAGCAAAGAUGCUCCUGUCCCUGCUCUCGGAUCAGCUCCCGGAACUGGUCCAGGCUGUCUGUCAAGCUGUGGUGCAACCGGAACAUCAUCCAGAAUUCAUGGAUCCAAUGCCUGCAGAGGCCUGCCCAAACUUGUUGGAGGUUUUGCAGCAACAUGCCAGGAGAAGUGUCGGGAAAAACAGAGACUUCUGGGAAACCAUAACAUAUUCCACCAAGUAAAACACAACACUAGUGCCAAAGGGUCAGCAGCAUGGACUCACCGAAGGACUGCAGACAUGCCUGGAUGAGCUCCUCCCAGCUCCCCCCUUUGGUGAGGGGACCCAGGGACAUCAUGGAUUUAGCCGGGGCGGGAUGGGCCGGGCUGGGUUUGUGGAACCUGUGAGGGCGGCCUGGAGGAGAAACUCCAGACCUGGAGCAUCCUGGAGUCACCCUCCUUGAGAAAAACACCAACACAAGAAGAUCUGCAGAACAGGAACUGGGUGGACCUUCCUCUACAGAUAACAGUGGCUGCAGGUUCCAUUAAGGCUUAUAUGGGGGGGGGAUAAAGUUAUUGUACCAUACUGUAGGUGGUCCAGGAAGGAUGUUUCCUGAAGUCUUUUAACUGCUUUAAGAAGAGUCUUAUCACACUUAUCUGGGUGGAGAACAGAGCUCUGAAGGGAGAAGAGAUUCAUGUAGACAUUAUGCCAAUGAAUAACAAGGGAGUUCGUUAACAUUUGAUCGCUAAAGUGACACCCAAGGGCCAUUAAAAUAUUGAUUUAAGGGAUUUAAUUUGUGAUCAUGGAUUAUUCAGCACAUUAUGAUGACUUAAAAACUACAUCUGGUGUGUUUAGACAUCUUUCCUCAAAGAAGGAAUUACAUGCCAACACACCAGAGUUAGCAGUAAUAUAUAAUGUGAAAAACCUUAUAUAGGAUAUAAUUGGAAAUGCAGUUAAUCACAGUUUUUCUUUGACCAUAAAACAUCCAGUUUAAGCAGAAAGGAAUGGAGUUAAAUUAGCUCUGGAGCUUUGCCCUUUUUCACUUGACAUGAACUGAGCUCAGGAGGAGCAACACACAUAAUAUACUGUAAGGUGCAUAAUAUAAGGUGCAUACAGUGUGUGUGAUUAAAUCAGCUGUGUGUCUCCUGCACCCCAAGAGCGUCCUCCCUUUGAUGAGGUGCUGUCCACAGACGAGCAGCAGCUUGAGUUAACGUGUUUCCACAGGCAGAGUGAAGUCAUGAGAGCUUGUGUAUUAGCAGCUGGCUACUUCUGAUAAGAUAGCAUGUCUGCACCCUUUUCUGUGUCAAUGCUGUUAUCAGACCAGUCAGUGAUGCCUUAAGCCUGCCCCCAUGUGGCACAUCGAAAUCUGAUUUCAUUUUUAUUGUCAUGACGUUGAGCCCUGUACUGCUGGCAGAAAUGAAAUAAAAAAAAUAAAUAACAA